CAACAGGGAUUGCCCUAGUAACGGCGAGUGAAGCGGCAACAGCUCAAAUUUGAAAUCUGGCCUCGGCCCGAGUUGUAAUUUGCAGAGGAUGCUUCUGGCGCGGUGCCUUCCGAGUUCCCUGGAACGGGACGCCACAGAGGGUGAGAGCCCCGUAUGGUCGGACACCAAGCCUGUGUGAAGCUCCUUCGACGAGUCGAGUAGUUUGGGAAUGCUGCUCUAAAUGGGAGGUAAAUCUCUUCUAAAGCUAAAUACCGGCCAGAGACCGAUAGCGCACAAGUAGAGUGAUCGAAAGAUGAAAAGCACCUUGAAAAGGGGGUUAAAUAGUACGUGAAAUUGUUGAAAGGGAAGCACUUAUGACCAGACUUGGGCCGGGCGGCUCAUCAGGGGUUCUCCCCUGUGCACUCCGCCCGGCACAGGCCAGCAUCGGUUCUCGUGGGGGGAUAAGACCGUCAGGAACGUAGCACCCUCCGGGGUGUGUUAUAGCCUGGCGGACGAUACCCCCGUGGGGACCGAGGUCCGCGCUCCGCAAGGAUGCUGGCGUAAUGGUCAUCAGUGACCCGUCUUGAAACACGGACCAAGGAGUCGUCCAUUAGAGCGAGCGUUUGGGUGUAAAACCCGCACGCGUAAUGAAAGUGAACGCAGGUGAGAGCUUCGGCGCAUCAUCGACCGAUCCUGAUGUUCUCGGAAGGAUUUGAGUAAGAGUUUUAACGGACGGACCCGAAAGACAGUGAACUAUGCUUGUAUAGGGUGAAGCCAGAGGAAACUCUGGUGGAGGCUCGCAGCGGUUCUGACGUGCAAAUCGAUCGUCAAAUAUGAGCAUGGGGG
rnacentral:rRNA from 2 species